rnacentral:lncRNA from 1 species
GAUCGGCAACAGCGCCUCGUCCUGGCAUCGAGGAGAGCCAGAACUCAUCUCUUCGGUAGCUCGUCACCACCCUCCCGGCAGCCUCCGACAUCACGUACCCACCCUCCCGGAGUCGAUCAACUACUUUGAGGUAGCAGAUUCCUCCUCUGUGUCUGCUCCUGCAAUUAACACUUUGAAUGCAAUUAACAAUUUGAAUGUUAACAUGGGGCAAAGACAAGAUGGAUCAGUAUAUAACAAUGGAGUACAUGCACAAUUAGAUGUUCAAGCUGUUUAAUGUCACUCCCAUCAUCACAAUUUCAUCUCAGGAAAUGGAGUAGAAUAGAUUUAAUUGGAUGUUUGAAUGAUAUGGUUACUUACAAGUGUCAGGGCUAUUACGAUCAGUUAAGUAAUUGCACCUGAUUAAAGAGGAGCCAAAGAAUUUACAUGUGGUCUAGUGCAUAUGCAAGUGCAAGUUACUCAGUUAAAAUUCAGUACUCCAUUGCCCAAAAUAAUUCAGUUAAAAUUUUGUUAAAAGAUCACUGAAUUAACCAAGUACUCCAGGUCAGGUCCAGUUACUCAAUGCAUAAUUUCUAAACCUAUCAUCAAUGGAAGGUCACCAAUUUUAAUUGAGCAGUAGCUAAUUGAGCAAACACACUGAGCUUAUGCAUAACACAUUAGCUACGGAAAGUACUCACCUUGCGGUGAUUAUUUCACAGGGAUAAACCUCCAAAUAUAACCACUAUACCACACUAUAUAAAUUGUGAAUCAAGGAACUGCUGCAAUUGACAUGAGAAGAUCAACAAUAUAUGCUCACCUCCAGGAACAAAGUCAGCUCCAUAUAUAUGCUAGCUCCAGGGUAAAUAUGCCAAAAUAUCACACCUUGUGAAAAGAGCAUCUUAUUAAACAGUCAGUCA